rnacentral:rRNA from 1 species
UCUAGUGACAAUAGCGAGGAGGAUACACCGGUUCCCAUUCCGAACACCAGAGUUAAGCUCCUCAGCGCCGAUGGUACUUGGGGUUACCCCCUGGGAGAGUAGGUCGUCGCUAGGU